UGUACGUAUCGUGCAAUUUAUAUACGUAUAUAGUGGAUCCCUUCUGGUCUUCCGGGGGUUGUCUUUCUCGGGCAAUUCCAACCAAAUCCUUCUCUUUCUCGAUCGCCGGCGGAUCUUCGCUGCGAGCCCAUACCACCUUCUCUCUCGUUCUCCAGGCUUCAAGAUGGGCUUAAAGCUGCAAUCAUUAAGGAAUUUUGAUGCCUUUCCUCGUGCUGAAGAGCACCUUCUACAGAAGACACGAUCUGGAGCUGUUGUUUCCAUCAUCGGCCUCAUCAUAAUGGCAACCUUGUUUGUUCAUGAGCUGAAGUAUUACCUCACUACCUAUACUGUGCAUCAGAUGUCUGUAGAUGUAAAGCGAGGAGAAACUCUUCCAAUUCACAUAAAUAUGACAUUCCCUUCACUACCUUGUGAAGUUUUAAGUGUGGACGCCAUUGACAUGUCAGGCAAACAUGAGGUUGACUUGCAUACAAACAUUUGGAAGCUUCGUUUGACUCGAGAAGGUCACAUUACUGGCACUGAGUACCUAUCUGAUCUUGUCGAAAAGGAGCACUCAGCUCACAAGCAUGGUGAUAGCAAUGACCAUCAUGAAGAUCCCACCAAAAACGAAAAUGAACAAGGGUUCGGCCCAGAUGCUGUGACAAUGAUUAAGAAUGUAAAGCAUGCAAUGGAAAAUGGUGAAGGAUGCCGAGUAUUUGGGGUUUUAGAUGUGCAAAGGGUUGCUGGUAAUUUUCAUGUUUCAGUUCAUGGGUUAAAUUUCUUUGUUGCCCAACAGAUCUUUGAUGGAGCAAAAAAUGUAAAUGUCAGUCAUGUGAUUCAUGAUUUGUCAUUUGGUCCAAAGUAUCCAGGAAUUCACAAUCCACUUGAUGGAACUACCAGGAUCCUUCAUGACACUAGUGGUACUUUCAAGUACUAUAUCAAGAUUGUUCCAACAGAAUAUAGAUAUCUUUCUCAUAGAGUAAUGCCUACAAAUCAAUUUUCUGUCACAGAAUAUUUUGUUCCCAUACGUGCGAUUGAUAGGUCCUGGCCAGCUGUUUACUUCUUGUAUGAUCUUUCACCUAUCAUUGUGACAAUUAAGGAAGAGCGCCGAAGUUUUCUGCAUUUCAUCACACGUCUCUGUGCUGUACUUGGUGGUACAUUUGCUUUGACAGGAAUGCUUGAUCGGUGGAUGUACAGAAUCAUCGAGGCCUUCACAAAGUCAAAGACCGGAAGCAUUUUUCGGUGAUGAAGAACAACUCGGAACUUUGAAACUGGAUUUGCCUGAUAGCAUUUGGCAUUGGCCUUGGUAUGUUCUACUGUUGUUCACAGUCCAAUCAACCACUGUGGUUAAAAUCCUAUUCACCAACCAACGCCAAACGGGGUCUGAUAAGCUUGAAAUUUGUAUCUUUGAAGAUUGUCUAUGCAGGACUCCAGCAGAUAAGAGGACAUUGAGAGUUAAUUCUCUUUAUGGGUUAUCGGUACUAUGGCCGCCGGUGGUGGCGGAAGGAACGGACGACGGAAUAUAGCUCAAGAACAGUCAUUUAGCCUUCAUGGUUGCUACAAGGAUGAACAAAAGAAUACAACCUGGAUAAGAAGGAACAGAGAGAACAAAUCUUCUCUCAAGAAUACAUCAACAAGUAGAAUCCAGCUCUUCAUCCUCACCUACAAUGACUAAGUUGGCGUGCAUGGGGUGAUGAUAAGGAUAAACUUGAAGACGGCAGCCAACAGGUCCACUCAUCUCUGAUCAGUGCUCUUCAGCCUUGGCCUUCUUGGUAUCCCACCCCAUCAAUGCUUUCUGGUUCUGUGCAAGCUUCCUCUUCUCCCUCGACAAUGCGCGGGAGGCUGAACGAUACAUCUGCAGCAUAUCUCGCCUGGCUCGUCGGCGAUGAAUUCAGAUCUCCCUUCUGCACAUGAGCUUCAUGCAGCUGCAACACAUUCUCGAGGUGCCACAAGACCUCCCCCAUCGGCGGCCGGUUCUUCCCCUCAUCAGCAAGGCAUUUCUCGGCGAUAUCCGCAAACUUCUUCAGUGACUCUGAUGAGUAGUUCCCUUCCAGGCGAGGAUCCAUGAUUCUUUCCAUCGAUUUCUGCCGCUGCCAAUGCAGUGCCCACUCCGCCAGAUUGAUCUGCUCCCUUGGCAAGCUUGGAUUUAUGACUGGCCUGGCACAGAGGACUUCGAACAGCACCACACCGAAGGAGUAGACGUCUGAUUUCUGCGUCAACUGCUGCCGCCGGAAGUACUCUGGAUCGAGGUACCCGAAGCUUCCCUUCACGGCAGUACUGACGUGCGUAUGAUCGAAUGCCGGACCGUCUUUGGACAGCCCGAAGUCUGCCAUCUUCGCUACGAAGUUCUCAUCCAGCAAUAUGUUGGUGGUCUUGACAUCCCUGUGGAUAAUACCCCCCUCUGCUCCUGUGUGAAGAUAGUGAAGUCCUCGCGCAGCUCCGAUGCACGCAUGCAGCCGCUGCUUCCAGGUGAGUGGUGGGAGGUCACUCCCGAAGAGGUGGCUUCUGAGAGUCCCAUUGGCCAUGUACUCGUAUACCAAGAUCAUCUCAUUCUGCUCAUCACAGUAUCCGAUCAUCGAAACCAGGUGCCGAUGGCGUAGCUUCGAGAGCAUCUCGAUCUCGGUUUCGAAUUCCUUCAGUCCCUGCUCAGAUUGUGGGUUGGCCCUUUUGAUCGCCACUGUCAUCCCCUCGUCCAUUUCACCCUUGUACACCUUCCCGAAACCUCCUGUUCCGAUCACCAACGUGUCGUCGAAGUUUCUAGUUGCA